rnacentral:lncRNA from 12 species
AUGUUAAGACACCGUGAAGGAAGAAAUGGACUACUACCAUGGAUGGUUCCAAUGGGCCAGGUUUCCUGCCAGCAUGACAACAAUAUCCAUGCUGGCUCAUGGCAGCUUGAUGGGGCAUCGGGGAGAGAACCACUCGAAUGGGCCGCCCACGACCUCAGCAUGAGUGAGUAAUUGUAAAGGCUCCCCACCAUGUGUGUUAAUACUUAGAAACACAGAACUGAAUGUCAACACUUUGCCUCUCCCGAGAGUGCUCAGAUCUGAGCACGGAGGCCGAGAGUAACACCACACCAACCUGGAGUUGAGAAAGGAAAGUAUAUGUUAUCUGUUUUAAAUCACUUGUCAAAAAUGAGUUUUUCUUGAGCUCUCUUCUUUGGGGAGAAAAAAAAAUAUAGAAGAGUCUUUGGCAUCAACUGCCUUGCCUUGGCACUGAGUAGCAGCUAUGAACACUGACACUGGACACCCAUACCAGAAUGGCACACACACUCAUCAUUGCUCAAAAACAAGGCAUUUACAGAUCAAAGAUUGGGUAGGAGUCCUUGUUCUGCUCUUCUGAUCCUCAGAAAUCCUCAAAACUUGUCUAAAUUCCAGUUUUCUCACUGCCAAAGGGAGCUUAAUCUUUAUCUACCUAACAGGUCUGUCACAAGGAAAGUCAUGCUAGUCCUUGCUAGGGGAUGAAUGUAUGUGUGUGUGUGUGUGUGUGUGUGUGUGUGUGUGUUAAGGGUGGAAAGGUUCUUUUGCGUUGUGCAAAGUCGCAUUGGAAAGAGAUCCCAUGUCCACAGAAGAGUUAAAUUAAUACUCAUGAUAGAAUCUAGCCCCUGCUAGAACAUUAAUUAUCAUCUGC